UGCUACACAUACCUCUGUGAGGUGACUGCCACUCCUCUCAUCAAGAGGGGGUCUAUUUCCUCACUCUGCAAUUCUGGGAUGGCAGAGCAAAUUGAAUUGAGCAAUGGAUGGCAGCAGAAUGCCAGUGUGAGAUGUCCAAGCCUCGUCUCAAGAGGCUUUACCUUGUCUUCUCUUGGAACCCUGGGACUACCAGGGGAAGAAGCCAGGGACAGGCUGUUGGCCACAUGAAAGAGGCCCAGCUGACAGCUAGUAUCAACCCUCAAUUGGGAUAAUAAGAUUCUCCUGGCUCAUUGUGUCCCAAUAAAGCUGCCAGGGGCCUGCAACCCAUGAGUUACCCCAGGAGAGACUUGAAGAAUCAUGAAGAAAUAGUCAUUUGAAGCCGCUGGGUUUGGGGAGGGCUGGUGACAGCAUAGUUAACAGAGCAUCACCUGAGAGCCUUUCAAAAAUGCAGCUCUCAGGCCCCAGUCCUUACUGAAUCCUAAUACAUAUUUUAACAAGAUUCCCAGGCAUUACAGUCUCCACCAACAAGGCAGCACGGCAGACACUGGGGCUCCAUGUG
rnacentral:lncRNA from 1 species